rnacentral:rRNA from 1 species
CCUACGGGAGGCAGCAGUGGGGAAUAUUGGACAAUGGGCGAAAGCCUGAUCCAGCCAUGCCGCGUGUGUGAAGAAGGCCUUCGGGUUGUAAAGCACUUUCAGUGGGGAAGAAAGCCUUGGGGCUAAUACCCUCGAGGAAGGACAUCACCCACAGAAGAAGCACCGGCUAACUCCGUGCCAGCAGCCGCGGUAAUACGGAGGGUGCGAGCGUUAAUCGGAAUUACUGGGCGUAAAGCGCGCGUAGGCGGUCUGAUAAGCCGGUUGUGAAAGCCCCGGGCUCAACCUGGGAACGGCAUCCGGAACUGUCAGGCUAGAGUGCAGGAGAGGAAGGUAGAAUUCCCGGUGUAGCGGUGAAAUGCGUAGAGAUCGGGAGGAAUACCAGUGGCGAAGGCGGCCUUCUGGACUGACACUGACGCUGAGGUGCGAAAGCGUGGGUAGCAAACAGGAUUAGAUACCCGAGUAGUC